rnacentral:rRNA from 1 species
ACUCAAAUGAAUUGACGGGGGCCCGCACAAGCGGUGGAGCAUGUGGUUUAAUUCGAUAUUAAGCGAGGAACCUUACCUGGGCUUGACAUGCACUGGACUGCUGGUGAAAGCCAGUUUCCCUUCGGGGCCGGUGCACAGGUGCUGCAUGGCUGUCGUCAGCUCGUGUCGUGAGAUGUUGGGUUAAGUCCCGCAACGAGCGCAACCCUCGUCUGCUGUUGCUAACGGUUUGGCCGAGCACUCUGCAGAGACUGCCUGUGAAAGCAGGAGGAAGGUGGGGAUGACGUCAAGUCCUCAUGGCCCUUAUGUCCAGGGCUACACACGUGCUACAAUGGGAGGUACAAAGCGUUGCCAACCGGUAACGGGGAGCCAAUCGCAUAAAGCCUCUCUCAGUUCGGAUUGGAGUCUGAAACCCGACUCCAUAAAGCCGGAAUCGCUAGUAAUCGCAGAUCAGCCUUGCUGCGGUGAAUACGUUCCCGGGUCUUGUACACACCGCCCGU